GGUGCUUUCUCCUUCUCUUGCAUGGCUGACCUCAUCUUCACUUGCUCUGAAAACAGAACCUGCAUAUUCACUCAGAAGUAUUGGCUUAUAUAGUGUCACCUGAACUAUAGUUCUUAGAGGCAGUCGAUCAUUUUGUGCAGCAUGCACACCCGCAUCAAGCGAAAGUUUCUCACAAUUCAUGAUUUUGCAGAGCCUUCUCCGAUCAUGCUCAGAUAAUAAAGGACGGGUCUGCAGAGGAGAAUAGUCUGUGAUGUCUUGAACUUGAACUAUCAAAUCUGUUGGGAACUGAGUGGUAAUAAACCUGCAAAGGGGGAAACCAGAGAAAAGAUUGUAUUCAAAACACUAAAUGGACAGUAUUCAGAGAGAAGGCCCUAUUCCAUUCCAUGAAUCAAGAUUCUAAAAUGAACUCAAGGUUCUACCAUGCUUGAUCUUUCCUGUUGAUGCAAUCUUCUCCGGUGAUAAAUUGGUCUGGAAUCACUAUCCUCUGGUCGUGAACCUGCUCGGCUCCGUCCAAAUUAGUGUCGGGAUUUUGUA